UUUGUCUUGUUCGGAGACCUUCAGCUCGGAGAUCGGGAACAAUGGAAACCCUCGCGAGUGCCAUGAAGAAUGAUCGCCGUUCUCGAUCUCACACGAGGCUCUUCUCCUACUCCUCUUCGUCUUCGCAAUCGAGCAAAGGCCCUCUUGUCCUUGGAUUCAUCUCCUGCCUUGCUUGGCUUUACGUCGCUGGCCGGUUAUGGCAAGAUGCUGGGAAUCGGAUGUUGUUAUCGAGUCUUCUCCGGGAGAAUUCGGGCAAUAGGCCGAGGGUGCUGACGGUGGAGGACAAGCUGAUGAAUCUGGGAUGCAAGGAGAUUGGGAGGAGGAUUGUGGAAGCUGAAAUGGAACUGACAUUGGCAAAGAGUCUUGGUUUCUUGAGGCAAAAUCGGUCAUCUUCUGACCAGAAGUUUCUUGCAGUUAUUGGAGUUUAUACCGGGUUUGGGAGUCAUCUUAAAAGGAAUGUUUUCAGGGGCUCAUGGAUGCCUAGAGGUGAUGCUAUGAAGAAACUUGAGGAGAGGGGGAUCAUCAUUCGUUUUGUUAUUGGUCGAAGUGCUAAUCGAGGUGAUAGUUUGGACCGCAUUAUUGACGAAGAAAAUCGCCAGACCAAAGAUUUCUUGAUUCUUGAGAGUCACGAAGAAGCCCAAGAAGAAUUGCCUAAAAAAGCAAAAUUCUUCUUUAGCACAGCGUUUGAUACAUGGGAUGCUGAAUUCUAUGUUAAAGUUGAUGACAAUAUUAACCUGGACCUGGAUGGAUUAAUCGAGAUUCUUGAAAGCCACCGUGGUGGCCAUGGCACUUAUAUGGGCUGUAUGAAGUCUGGUGCUGUUAUAACUGAAGAGGGAAAACAGUGGUAUGAACCUGAUUGGUGGAAAUUUGGGGAUUCAAAGUCUUACUUUCGCCAUGCUUCUGGCUCUUUAUUUAUUCUGUCAAGAAGCUUGGCUCAAUACAUCAACAUAAACAGCGCAUCUCUACAAGCAUAUGCGCAUGAUGACAUCUCAGUAGGUUCAUGGAUGAUGGGCCUUAAUUCAACUUAUGUUGAUGAUGAUCGGCUCUGUUGUGGUAGCUCACGGCAAGAGAAAGUUUGUUCGGUGGCUUGACAAACGAACAUUUAAUUGUAACAAUUUCUUUUACUCAACAUCAUCGAUGAAAUCUCUGGAUGGCAAUUCAUUCUGGAUUGAUGAUUUUCCAAUGGUCUUCAUGCUGCCUAGGUAUAAUCAAAUUUUAGAGGAAGAGAGUGAAAGAUAGAGCUGGUUUUGAGUAGUUAGUAGUUAGUUUGUGGCUAGAAGUAAUAGGUGAUAUGCAACCACAUAAUCAAGAAGAGGACUUGGACUUUGAAUGUGAUGGCCAAUCUUCCCAACUUGUCUAUUUUAUAAUAGGAAUCUAUUCUCUUUUCCAUAUCUUAUAUUGUCCAUGAACCUUGAGUAGAUGGAUAUUUGGAUGUAUCUCACCUUCUAAACAUGGGGUGAUGCUUCUCCAUCUCACCCUUCAUCAUCAUCAUCAUCAUCAUCAUCAUCAUCAUCAUCCCUUUUCUCCUCUCUUCUUUCUGUUAUGGAUAAGCCUUAUCUUUUUCGUCACGUAU